rnacentral:rRNA from 1 species
AGUGAACGCUGGCGGUAGGCCUAACACAUGCAAGUCGAACGGCAGCACAGUAAGAGCUUGCUCUUACGGGUGGCGAGUGGCGGACGGGUGAGGAAUACAUCGGAAUCUACUUUUUCGUGGGGGAUAACGUAGGGAAACUUACGCUAAUACCGCAUACGACCUACGGGUGAAAGCAGGGGAUCUUCGGACCUUGCGCGAUUGAAUGAGCCGAUGUCGGAUUAGCUAGUUGGCGGGGUAAAGGCCCACCAAGGCGACGAUCCGUAGCUGGUCUGAGAGGAUGAUCAGCCACACUGGAACUGAGACACGGUCCAGACUCCUACGGGAGGCAGCAGUGGGGAAUAUUGGACAAUGGGCGCAAGCCUGAUCCAGCGAUACCGCGUGGGUGAAGAAGGCCUUCGGGUUGUAAAGCCCUUUUGUUGGGAAAGAAAAGCAGCAGGUUAAUACCCCGCUGUUCUGACGGUACCCAAAGAAUAAGCACCGGCUAUCUUCGUG